CGCCUAGUCGACAGUUGCAUCAUCGCCUAGAUCUAUUGCUGUGAGGCUCGUCGAGGUCCCGGGACCCCGGCAUCACCGCGCCUGGCGUGUAACGACGACUGGCCGAACCCCCUCUCUCUCUCUCUGGUGUGUCGCCAAUCGGGUUGGAGUCACAAAUUACAACAAGAGUUCCCUAUCUCUCGAUUGCUCACAAGAUUUUCGGAGUAUCUAGGGUGGAGGUCGUGGCCUGUUUACGCUGGUGCUUGAAGUACCACAUCUCUUGGGAUAAAACUAGUGGUCUGCAGAUGCAUUCAAUACCAAAAUUUGGUUCCCUUCCCUGCGUUCAUGAUGCUGGUGUUGUUGUUCGAGACCCAUUCCUUGGCAUUACAAUCAAAAUGCUAUCACAUCAAGCUAUUCUUUUGCUUGGUGGGAUUAAAGAAAGAUGGGAGAAGGAAAUUGCUUGGAUGGCUCUUCAAGGUAUCAACUCACCACUAGUUCAAGUCUCUGCGCAAUAUGUUGCUGGAAAGUGGAAAGGAUUGAGCAUAUGGUGAACACGAACAACAAUAUGCAAGUUGAAGUCUCGAAACAGAAAAAGUGAGACAAACAUUAAAUGUGGUUGUACUGAGUAACACUAUUGUAUAGUGACCAUUGCUAAAACAUGUUGGUUUCUACUUGAUUGGUGCCUUUUUUUUUAUGAGGGAUUGCUCCUAAGACAUAUGGGUUGAUGCAUGUCAAUUUUACUAAAGAUUGUGGCUUUUAUUUUUCAAAC